GGAAUUAUGCCUGAAUAUUAAGGACCACUUUGAUAGAGUGAGCCACAGGGGUUAAAGUCCCCUUAAUUCCU
rnacentral:tRNA from 1 species